GGCGGAGCGCUGCACGCAGAGCCCCAGCUCCGGUGUGAGGGGUCAGCGCUCACUGAGCCCCGUGAGGGGCUGCGAUGCGGCCCCAGCCUAUUUGUAGACAUUGCAAAUAAAGCUGACAGCACUGACAGAGAACAACCUGAGGACACCGCCUGCAGGGAGACCCCACCGCAGCUGCAGGCUCUGAAGUUGUUCAAUAAAUUCCUGGAGAGACACGAAGGUUGGAGGAGAGCGCUCAGAUCAGCACCGCCAGCCCAUCCCCGGCCGUGCACACUGCCCACGUCCCGCAGCGUCACUCGGAAGGUUUCCUUUUUGUUCCAUGGAUCCGUUCAGUUCCCUGCUUUGUUUUUAAAGAGAAAAAAAAA
rnacentral:lncRNA from 1 species